rnacentral:tRNA from 1 species
AAAAUCCGUUGACUUUUUAAAUCGUGAGGGUUC